GACGAACGCUGGCGGCGUGCUUAACACAUGCAAGUCGAACGGAAAGGCCCUGCUUUUGUGGGGUGCUCGAGUGGCGAACGGGUGAGUAACACGUGAGUAACCUGCCCUUGACUUUGGGAUAACUUCAGGAAACUGGGGCUAAUACCGGAUAGGAGCUCCUGCUGCAUGGUGGGGGUUGGAAAGUUUCGGCGGUUGGGGAUGGACUCGCGGCUUAUCAGCUUGUUGGUGGGGUAGUGGCUUACCAAGGCUUUGACGGGUAGCCGGCCUGAGAGGGUGACCGGGCACAUUGGGACUGAGAUACGGACCAGAGUCCUACGGGAGGCAGCAGUGGGGAAUAUUGCACAAUGGGCGGAAGCCUGAUGCAGCAACGCCGCGUGCGGGAUGACGGCCUUCGGGUUGUAAACCGCUUUCGCCUGUGACGAAGCGUGAGUGACGGUAAUGGGUAAAGAAGCACCGGCUAACUACGUG
rnacentral:rRNA from 1 species